GGGGUUCGCCCUUAUGCUGCACUACGCAUAAGCAUCGCCUGGGAGUACGUCGCAAGACUGAACUCAAAGAUGACGGGGCCCGCCCAAGCGGUGGAGCAUGUGGUUUAUUCGAAGCAACGCGAAGAACCUUACCAGUCUGACAUCCUCUGACAACCCUAGAGAUAGGGCUUUCCCUUCGGGACAGAGUGACAGGUGGUGCAUGGUGUCGUCAGCUCGUGUCGUGAGAUGUUGGGUUAAGUCCCGCAACGAGCGCAACCCUUGAUCUUAGUUGCCAGCAUUUAGUUGGGCACUCUAAGGUGACUGCCGGUGACAAACCGGAGGAAGGUGGGGAUGACGUCAAAUCAUCAUGCCCCUUAUGACCUGGGCUACACACGUGCUACAAUGGACAGAACAAAGGGCUGCGAGACCGCAAGGUUUAGCCAAUCCCAUAAAUCUGUUCUCAGUUCGGAUCGCAGUCUGCAACUCGACUGCGUGAAGCUGGAAUCGCUAGUAAUCGCGGAUCAGCAUGCCGCGGUGAAUACGUUCCCGGGCCUUGUACACACCGCCCGUCACACCACGAGAGUUUGUAACACCCGAAGUCGGUGAGGUAACCUUAUGAGCCAGCCGC
rnacentral:rRNA from 1 species